CUAACUACAGGCUUAACACAUGCAAGUCGAGGGGCAUCAGGAAGAAAGCUUGCUUUCUUUGCUGGCGACCGGCGCACGGGUGAGUAACACGUAUCCAACCUGCCCUUUACUCGGGGAUAGCCUUUCGAAAGAAAGAUUAAUACCCGAUGGCAUAAUGAUUCCGCAUGGUUUCAUUAUUAAAGGAUUCCGGUAAAGGAUGGGGAUGCGUUCCAUUAGGUUGUUGGUGAGGUAACGGCUCACCAAGCCUUCGAUGGAUAGGGGUUCUGAGAGGAAGGUCCCCCACAUUGGAACUGAGACACGGUCCAAACUCCUACGGGAGGCAGCAGUGAGGAAUAUUGGUCAAUGGGCGCUAGCCUGAACCAGCCAAGUAGCGUGAAGGAUGAAGGCUCUAUGGGUCGUAAACUUCUUUUAUAUAAGAAUAAAGUGCAGUAUGUAUACUGUUUUGUAUGUAUUAUAUGAAUAAGGAUCGGCUAACUCCGUGCCAGCAGCCGCGGUAAUACGGAGGAUCCGAGCGUUAUCCGGAUUUAUUGGGUUUAAAGGGAGCGUAGGUGGACUGGUAAGUCAGUUGUGAAAGUUUGCGGCUCAACCGUAAAAUUGCAGUUGAUACUGUCAGUCUUGAGUACAGUAGAGGUGGGCGGAAUUCGUGGUGUAGCGGUGAAAUGCUUAGAUAUCACGAAGAACUCCGAUUGCGAAGGCAGCUCACUGGACUGCAACUGACACUGAUGCUCGAAAGUGUGGGUAUCAAACAGGAUUAGAUACCCUGGUAGUCCACACAGUAAACGAUGAAUACUCGCUGUUUGCGAUAUACAGUAAGCGGCCAAGCGAAAGCAUUAAGUAUUCCACCUGGGGAGUACGCCGGCAACGGUGAAACUCAAAGGAAUUGACGGGGGCCCGCACAAGCGGAGGAACAUGUGGUUUAAUUCGAUGAUACGCGAGGAACCUUACCCGGGCUUAAAUUGCAGUGGAAUGAUGUGGAAACAUGUCAGUGAGCAAUCACCGCUGUGAAGGUGCUGCAUGGUUGUCGUCAGCUCGUGCCGUGAGGUGUCGGCUUAAGUGCCAUAACGAGCGCAACCCUUAUCUUUAGUUACUAACAGGUUAUGCUGAGGACUCUAGAGAGACUGCCGUCGUAAGAUGUGAGGAAGGUGGGGAUGACGUCAAAUCAGCACGGCCCUUACGUCCGGGGCUACACACGUGUUACAAUGGGGGGGUACAGAAGGCAGCUAGCGGGUGACCGUAUGCUAAUCCCAAAAUCCUCUCUCAGUUCGGAUCGAAGUCUGCAACCCGACUUCGUGAAGCUGGAUUCGCUAGUAAUCGCGCAUCAGCCACGGCGCGGUGAAUACGUUCCCGGGCCUUGUACACACCGCCCGUCAAGCCAUGGGAGCCGGGGGUACCUGAAGUACGUAACCGCAAGGAUCGUCCUAGGGUAAAACUGGA
rnacentral:rRNA from 1 species